AUGGCGCCGCCGCCGCCACGGCUGCUCGCCGGCGGCGACCACAGUCCGCCCCCCACGUCAACCUCCUCCCCGGAGCACCCUCUCCUCUCCGCGCACCUCCUCCUCCCCGACCCAUCCCCCUCCGAUCUCUCCUCCCCGCACCUCCCCCACGCCCUAGCCUUCUCCUUCCUCACCCACCCGUCCCCUCUCCCGCGCCGCCUGCUCCUGCUCCUCCACGCCGCCGGGGGCCGCUUCCCCGCCUUCUACCACUCCUUCGCCUCCGCCCUCCUCUCGCUCCCCUUCCCGCUCCUCCUCCCCCACCCACGCGCCCGCCUCCUCCUCGCCGCCGCCGAGCUCACCCGCGCGGCCGCGCCGGGCUUCGCGCCCCUACUCCUGUCCCUCCUCCGCCGCGUGCCCUUCCCCGGAGACGCCCGCCUCCUCGACCACAUCCGCGAGCAUUCCUCCUUCCUCGUCGCCGAGGAGCCGCAGCUCCUCGCCUCCGCGGUCUUCGCGUUCCUCCGCCUCCUCGCCAGGAACCGCCUCGCUCCGUUCCCCAGGAGCGCCGAGUGCAGCAACUGCGAGGAGUGCAAGAGCGCGAAGAACCUCGAAGAGUGCGGAGAGAAGCUGGUGUCCUUCUGCGUCUCGGUGCUGCGGGAUCACUUCCAGGUGUGCACGCUGAUCGGGAGGGACCUUGUGCGAUCGCUCCAUGAGCUGGUGCUCGUGCCGGAGUUCCAGGGACUAUGGAAAGACUUGAUCCUGGCCCGAAACGUUGACAUCUGCCGGGUUGUCACUCCAGGUUGGUGCACAGCCUUGUCUAUCUCGCCGGAGAUGGAGACGCAACUGCUGUUCUUGAUGAACAAUGUGAAGUGGGGAAGCCAGAAGAGGUACCAGCUGUGGUUUGCGAGGAAGCAUUUGAUGGUGCCUGGAGGGGAGGAGAGGAUACCGGACAUUGUCCGCUUCAUAUGCUGCGGGUACCUCCCGACCAAUGAGGUUAUACAGUCUGGUGUCAUUGCCCGCUGGGCGGUCAUCGGUUGGUUGCUGACUAGUUGCAGCAAGGGAUACAUCGUAGCGAAUGCGAAGUUGGCGCUGUUCUAUGACUGGCUGUUUUUUGAUGAGACUAAGGGUAACGUCAUGAACAUUGAGCCAGCAAUGCUUCUGAUGUUGAACUCAAUAUCUCAGUAUGUAGAUAUCACAAACAUGCUACUCGAGUUCUUAUUUCUCCUGAUUGAGAACUAUGAGGUGCGGAGGAAGGAGGCCAUCGAGCAGUCUGUGAGGUGUGCAUUUACAGUGCUGGUGAAGAAAGGAGUGCUCCCGUCAUUGGAGUUGUUGACAUGCUGCGAGAAGCUAUCGCCACUGCUUAGGCAGAAGCUUGUGGCAUUUUUAUCUAGUACAACUCCUGUAGCAGCUGUAGAAGCCUGCUUGAAACCGAUUAAUGAGGUUUCUAAAGCAGCAGAGUUGAAGAAGAGAGUUUGCUCAAACUAG
rnacentral:rRNA from 1 species